rnacentral:snoRNA from 1 species
AUUCUCUUAAUGAUGAUCACAUAGUUCAACUGAAACUAAUGAAGAUUUUAUCUUUCGCCCCUAUCUGAUUUAUAAU